rnacentral:misc_RNA from 1 species
AAUCACUAGAAUCAGAUUGUUCUGAGCUUGAAUCACCUUCCUCUUCAUCACUCAUUAAAGCACACGCAGACAAAGUCAUUGCAUCACUCCCAAGCUUUGCAGAGCUUCCAUCAUCACGAAAAACAACCUUCCCUACUCUGAGUUCAUCAUCCCAUGAUUCAAGUUCAGCUUUCCUCCAAAUGCCAGCAUUAUUAUCCGAAGCUGCCCAAAUACUGGACCCCACCAAUGACUGAUCCCACAUUGUUGGGAUGUACUUCUUCAGAGAAGAUAAUGACACAUUAAACCCUGCAGAUAUAAACCCAAGUCAACUCUGAGAUCCAGGAAAAAAAAAAAACUGUUUGAGCAAAAGAUAUACAUGUGAAAUGGGUAGCAUUACAUAAAUGUGUUGGGACUAUGCCAAAGCCAAAAUGAGAAGAAAGGCAAAAGCUGUUCUAACACAGAAGUGAAUGCACAGCAAGAGGCAUAGAUUAAAAAAUGUUCUCAACUAGUUCACCGAUUUGCUGAAAGAACAUAAAGUUCCAGGUUACCUAAUUUCUCCUAUGUUGGGAAAAGAGUAUUUUAAUCACAAAGCUUCUCAAGCAUCAAUGAAAAGAUUUAAUACAAAAAAUCAAAUGGAUCCAUUUGAAGAACAAAAGUUAAACAAAAUGUCGCCCAUUAUUCUUGUAUAAAUGCUGCUUUCAUAGACAAGGCUGUGAAAAUUGAGAUAUGAAAAUAAAAUCUGCAGAGAAAAUUAUAGGAUCUACUGAUCCGCACAGUGGAAGUUAUUGCAACAUACCAUGCGAUAAGCGGCAAUUAGUACCAAAUCGACAUCGUUGUUGCAGGAAAAACUUGCAUAUCUGCGCUUGGGUGAUCUAUCAUUAGUACAAUAACUACUGAAAACCAAAAGUCUUACUUUUUAAUUUUUAAUUUAAAUCUAGCAGGUUAUAAUUCGAGUACAUUAACAUUAAGUUAGUGUAUGAGAAGAAUUUCCCAAUUUGUUUUUGCCUUUUCAAAAAAGGUGAAUUACAUUCACUCAAAGGUCUCCCACACACGAGAUAUAUAUGGGGGAACAUGAAUUUAAAAAAUGUAGAUCAAAAAGAUCUAAAAUUGGGGGCAAAAGCCUAGUUAUGCAAUGGACUAUAUUGUAUAAUAUUCCCUAAAAAAAAUAAAGAUGCAACUUUUUCUACAAAUAAACAGAAAAUCAUAGAAAUGACGCACCAUCAUAUUUUCUGAGGUAGGGGUAAGGAAAGAGAUCUUCACUGUAUUAGAACCUUCCAACCCAAUAAUUUUACCGUUAUACCAUCGUCCAUCAUUGUAACGGAAUCUACAUUUUGAUCCAACAGAGUAACUUUGCUCCUCCAGUGGCUCUGGUUCAACAUCAUUUGGAUCAAGAGGCUCUACCUUAACAUAAUCAGCAGAAUGCUUAGAAUCAUCGAGUGCGGAAUCAACUUCCCGCAAUAAACGUGCACGCUUUAGGUGCAGAAGUCCAUCCUCUGCAUCUUUAAUUGUCUGAACAAGCUCCUCUUGAACCGAGAGGAGCUCGGCAUUGGAGGGGUCAGAGGCGAGAGCAUCAUCCAAGGCAGCAAGUGAAUCUUUCUGCUCCUGUAACUGAAGCUCCAGCUGAUUCUCUAGAGCUCUCUCUUCUUCACUCGCCAUCGCUGUGAGUCCUUCUUCGAGAUCAAAUAUUUUUCAGAACGAUAAAGGCUCGCCAGACGAUCAAGGACAUUGGCA